rnacentral:lncRNA from 1 species
UUUCUUAUUUUCAAAACAGCAGUCUGCUUCCCUUUGAUGAUGGACAGUAGGUCAAGCCAGUCACCGAGUUGCCAACGCAGAGCUUCGCAGUUCCAGAAGGCACUCUUUCCUUUGACCGAUUCCUUAUAAGUGUUAUCUACCACUGGUAAAAGCAAUAAACAGACUGCAAACAGGCACUGCCACAUUUGACAAACUUCAUGUUUUUUAUUUUAUCAUUUCAAAAGAGCAGUCCAUUUGUCUCUACCUCUGAGAAGUAGAUCAAACCAGUCACCGAGUUGCUGAACAAAAACUUGACAGUUUUUUGCUGAACAGCAACUUGACAGUUGCUGCUUCCUUUGACCCAUUCCUCCUAAGGUUUACCUACUGCUGGGAAAAAAAGAAAAAAGCCUCUGUGCCAGCUGCCCUUGAGUAUUUGCCCAGAGCUUGAGUAUUCGCCCAGAGACAGACCAGAUGUCUUUCCCAAAAGAGUCAGGACAAUGUAUUAUUGCACUGAUGAACCACCACAUUAGCUACCAUCACUAAUUGCCAGGCAGGACAGCUCCAGGCCAAACACGUACAUAAAAAGGCACGCUACAAACAUCAUGACCAAAACAUAGGAAAAGAAUUACUUAUACUAUAAGAAUGACUCACCUGAAGAAGACCUGCAUGCAAUAAAGGCAUCUACUACUGUAUAGUUUACUUUAAAUGAUCCUACUAGAUGUUACUUUAAAUAGAUGUACUUAUCUCUUUCAACUUGGAAACGCAUCAACCCCUAGACUCUGACCCACCUAAAAAAAAAAAAAAAAACUGCAUCUGGAUUUUUCUUUGUUUUGGAUUUUACCCAUUUCCUUGAUUUCCCAUUCCCUUUUAUUUAUUUAUAUUAGUUACUGUCCCUUAUUUCAAUUUCCAUGCAAACCUUUUUAUUGCAGGUUUUUACUAUCUUUUCCUAAUCUUCUUCCCAAAUGUCCCAAUUCUCUGGGAUUAAACUCUUCUUUCCACAUACAAACUUUACUGUUUCAGAUUGUUAAUGAGCCCCGUUCCAAUCAUAAAUCCACAGGACUUCGGAAAAACACCUGAAGCACUCAGACUUCCAUCUUCUAGACAAACAAUAACACCUUUUCCACAAAAAUUACUUUUCAACAAGACUGAAUUUCAAGCCGAAUGCUAAUUUUUUUCAUGCACUUUGUUAGUAAGCCUUCACAAAACAAGGAAUCACUCCUGUGUAUCCGUCAAUAUGGGGGUUUAAAAAGGUAUUGAGGCCUAAAUAAAUUCGCUCUCCCCCUUCUUACCA